GUUUUUUGCGGGCGAACAGCCCGAGCCCGCCCAGACACUACGAGCCUUCCUGCCCCGCCGCCCUCGAAGACCUGCCCUCCCGGAGCGCCGGAGUCCUCAGCGGCGCCGAGGGCCCCUCCCCUGGGCUUGCGGGCUCUGAGCAAAUCCUGCCCCCACCUGAGGAUUCUCAGAAGACUUCCUCGAGAAAUGCCAACUUGGGAAGGACAUACAAGAACUAGGCCUUCAGUCCUACGGCUCCCCAGAGUUCCUGUCUUUGCCAAGAGGGGACAAGAUGGCGUUCAUUUCCUUCUUGUGCUGAAUCUACUUGUGUCUAAUCCAUGGACUGUUUUCUCAACCCAUCCUCUGAUUUAACCUUGUUCAUGGGCGAGCCCAGAGGACACUCCAUUUAUCAAAGCAGUCAAGAAUGCACAGGAAGCUCUCCUGCUCUUAGACUGAAAACCUGGCUGCUCUGUGUCUAGACUGUAGAAGUUCUGGAGAUGAACAGUGCUGAUGGUUUCACAACAAUGUGAAGGUGUGGCCUGGGGCCCAAGCCUCAAUCUACUGUCACACUGAUUGCCUGACAGCCGCACAGAGGGGUGACCGCCCUGCCUGAAGAGGCAUGAGGAGGCCAGGACGCCCCGCUACCUGACGCCAGUCCUGCAUGUGACGGUUUGCUACCGUCAGCGUUGACCCAUGUCCUUUCCCAAGGAAAAGGGGGAGGAAACCGAGGCAGAGAAGCUCUCAUGCCUCACAGGUGACCCUCUUGGGUGAGAGACGUACACAGCAAGGAGGUGAGCCCAGGAGUUACCCUCAGAGUAGGGGCUAUGUCCACCACAACACAGCACUUCCCAGAGAGGCUGGCUCAUUAAGGGAAGCUUGACAUUCCUCCCACCCUACACCCACAAAUGUGUCUUGCCUGCAAGGUGAGCUGGGGUUUUUAUGCGACAUGGGUGCCAAUUAGCUGGGUCACAGAAGGAACGUGGUGGUGGGGUGGGUUUCCACGUGAAGUACCAAUGGGCGAGUGGCAGCCCAGCAUCUCAUUUCCACUCUACCACUCCUCAGCAGUGUGACCUUGGAAUGACCUCCCCUCUCUGAGCCUUGGUUUCCUCAUUAGUAAACUGGAGACGUCAACUCCCACCUCACAGAACCGCUGUGAGCAUGACAGAUGAGCAGUCCCAGCCUGGGCCCAACAGACACUCUUAGUAUUGGCACGGGUGAUGUCCAUUGUGAGCACCCCACCCCAUCACUAAGACUGGGGGAAGGGAGGGACAGCUGUGUCCUCCCCUUCACCAGCCAAGGAGGGCAAGGUGCUGAUCAGCAGGAGCAUCAGGAACGUUACUCACCUGAGCUGCUCUUUAAACAUCUUCUUGGACUUGGAUUUCUUCCCGGGUUUGGUAGAGAAAGGGGCGACUCCGAGUCCGAAGCCUUGUCCAUCAGGCUCACCCACUAGGUGGCCAUCAGCAUCUACGAGCCCUGCCUGGACAGAGGCCAGUCACAGGUCUGCAGGUCAGAUCAAGUGUUCAGGCCCUUGGGGGACCCCGGUGUAUAUGGACCAACGGUGGACAUGUUCAUCCCACACACCAGGAUGUGGCUCCUGCGGAUGUCACUUCAGGCUGUCCCCACGUCAGCUGUCUCUGAUCACCCCACCAAACAUCCAGUGUCUACACCAACUGUUCUCAUAGCUGGGUGUCUCAUCCAUACUCUGAGACUCCUGAGGCCCAUUUCCAACCUAACUGUGGGAAUUGUCUUGUUUGCUGCUGGGCACAUCUCCAAUUUAUGGAGAUCAUUUUGAAUUCAUACGUGGUUGACUCUUGCAUGGGUCAUUCUAUGCUCAUGCUGCUGUUAACCUUUACCUGUUACAACCCUAGAUCUUCUUUAAUGCAGGACACUCGUUGCCUCUGGCAAGAUCUGGGAAUGCAAAACUCUGAUGUGAGUCUUGUCGGCAAGAGGCAGGCGUGCUUACCUUCUGGACAGCAGAGAUAGCUGCAUAGUCAUUCUUGUCUAUAAGGGUGUACUUCCUGCGCAAAGUGGACUCCACUUCCUGUUCCUGUUGGCUUGGGAGACAGAGUGAAAGAACCCCUCGCACCUGGGGCAAGCUGAGCUCCCUGGGGCAGCACCAAGUUCUGGAGUUAGAAGUUGUUUGUGUGUGGCCCCUGAGACAGAGCCACACCCUCAUCGUGAACCAGACCAGACAGAACACACUCGCUUCCCGCUCCCCACUCCCCAAAGCAUGUACCCACUGUCCAGUCUCCAAAUCCACAGGGGUCACCCUAUGUGUCAAGGACAGCUGCUCUAAGAUAACCUUUGACAAGGACCCCAAGCCUGCAUCAUGCAUCCCGAUCUGUCUCUAACUGGCCCUUCGAAAUCACGUGCCCAGCUUCUGUGAUAACACCCAGCAUGAGCCAGUCAGGCUACAGGUAUGUCUGUACCCCAGAAAACCACAAAUCCCUCUUGAGGUGGGGAGGAGGGUGCCAGGAGCAUCAAAACACCCUGCUCUGGCCACAUAAAAACCUCCUGUCCAGUGAACAAACUCAGGAAACCAGGGACUGCCUCCUCUCUGCAUAACCCUCAAAAGGGGGGCUGUCCCCACUUCCAGGGGAAGGUAAGGGUAGGAGGACCUGAGAGCUCAGAGGCAGACUGCUGGGGUCACCCGGGACUGCCAUACCCAGAGGCCUCUGAUCCGGCUCCGCGCACACCAGACAGAAGGCAGAGCACCUGGAGGCCGGCACCCAGACCAUGGGAAAGGAGAAUGGCAGCCUGAUGCAGAACUGGGUGGGUGUGGUGGGUCCCUUACCUCAGCACCACCCGGAACUGGUUGAACACCUCCUGGAUCUGUCUGAGGUUGAUUAUCUGGAGAGGAUACCAAGGCAGAGGUUAGACCAGGGGCACCACGGAACUAAGGCUGUGUCUGUAGAGAAAUCAGGACCCCCUGACUAAGCCUUGGACCAUAUGUCUCAAGAAGGGGACAUGUACCAACACCCUCUCAGCAAAGUGGCAGUCAAGCCCUCCUCAAGAACAGAGAAACCCUUGAUGAGUAGUGUGGAAACUAUUUAUUGAGGCUAUAAAAAAAUCACCUUUUCUGACUGAAGAUUUAUAUAAAACUGAAAUGACUCUAAUUCUUGAAGGUACUAAGAAAACAUCUAAAUAAAAUUAACUGUCCUCAGCUCUCUCCUGCUUCCAAAAGGAUCCAUUAUGAACCAUUCUGUGUGGGUACAGACACAUACACACACCUGCGGCUGAAGGAAGACCAUCAGCCUCUCUUGACCCCACUACCCUCUAGCAUUAGCCUUGACGCCUCGGUCAUUCUGGGGCUGCCCUUCCUAGGAAGAUCAGAAGAGCCCUCAGCUGUCCCAGGCCUGCCUCUGGCAGCUGCUGACAGUAACAGGCUGGACAAGGCUCUGUCCGUGAGCCCCCUGAUGAGAAGUCUGCCAGCCUGUGCUCUGAAAACAAUGCCUCUUUCCCCCUGAGAGCCUUCCCUUUGUGGCUGCUCUAUUCCUCCUUGGCCCACUCCAGCAUGGGCCCUGGAGGGGUCCACCUUGUAGACAACCAGCAUGACCGUCAUCCUUUAAUGCCCUCCCUCUGCCUGCCACAGAUAAGCCCCUGAGGUGUUGCAUCUCAGUUCAUCCCAGCUCGGUUUCCCUCCUCACCAUACAGGUCAGGCCACCAGAGUACACGAGCUUGAGCAUUUUCCUGAGGCCACUCAGCAGGGAGACUGCUGAGCUCUGAGAUUCGACCCAGAGCAGCUUGGCUCUAGGAUCUGUAUUGGUGGCCCCAUGAUGGACCACCCCCACUGUAUUCAAGGCUUGGACCACCUCCCACGUGGUCAAGGCUUGGACCACCUCCCACGUGGUCAAGGCUUGGACCACCUCCCACGUGGUCAAGGCUUGGACCACCUCCCCUGUGGUCAAGGCUGUAGGCCACUCUGUGGGGCACCCACAGCCUUGCAGCCUCAGUGGGCUGAAGGGCCCUGAGGCCAGGAGUCCAGCACCACCCACCCUAUACCCCCUGCACCCUCUCAGUGAGGUUCCCAGGCUAUCACAGCAUACAUCGGAGACGGAGACAGAGGCCCGCGCCAGCCAGAUAUGGUGGUCCUGAGGGGCUCCUUACGUCAAUCUCUUCCAGCGUUCCCUCCAGGUACCUUCGCACCUGGGAGUUGAUCUCAGCAAUCUGGAUUUCAUCCAUAGGGUCAUAGUUCACGAGGGUACGGUUGGCCUUGGAGAAGGAAGAGGAACGUACUGUUAAGCUCCAAGCGCCCGAGCCCAAGCAGGGUGGCAGGGACCAUUCUGAGGACCAAAGUGGGGAGGCUGGGCAGAGAGCCUGGCUACCCAAGCCACUCCACUCCCUUCAUCACCAUGUCCUGGUAGGGAGGGCCUGACUCACAGGCCAGGUUUGGGUCAGCACGGGACAACCAGGUGGGACAGGGAAGGAAAGGCUGCCAGACAAGGGCCUGCUCCUCCAAGCCGGGGGGCUCUGCUGGCUGAGUCUCAGCAGACUGUGGGAUGAGGGCCACAGGAGGGAGGGGGCACCUCUGCCUUGAGACCCUCUGGACCAUGAGCAUCAGCUCAGACCAGCACUGGAGGUCUCCUGCCCCCCCACCCCUACCUUCCAGCUCCCUGCUGCCCCUAAUAACCAUCCAGCCUGUCCACCUCCCUGACCUUGAGCCGUCAUCAGGCUGUCUGCCUCUGUACCCCCACCUGCCAGGCUUGUGGCCCCUGCCCUUCAUCCCCCUGCCUACUGCCUGGCUCUGCUCCCUGGCCAUCUGACAGCCCUGCCCACAUCUUGUUCUUCCAGGGUCUCUGCCCAACAGACAUCCCUGAUCCCUCAGGCCUUCUGCCCCUGCAGUCUCUGUUCCCCCAGUGCCCUGUCUACUCAGCCCCAGACCCACAUGGCCCCCUGUCCACCCAGUCCCUCUGCUCACCCAGCCCACCCUCUGAUCCACCCCUGCCCUGACCCCACUGCCCCCUCCCACAUAGUCCUUCUUCCCACUUGGUACCCUGACCCCAGUCCCUCUAGUAUUCCGCCCACCACCUCUAGCCCCUUACCAGGCUGUCAUGGAUGGCUAGUUCCUGCUUGAGCAGUGCUAGCUCCUUCUCCAGGUUCUUGACCAUUCUCUGCCAGGGAAGCAUAUUGAGGUGGGGGGUAGCAAGGAGGACAGUCAGAGAAGCCACUUAUAAUCCCCCACCCUGUCCUCAGACAUCCUGGCCCUUGCAGGUAAUCCAUGGAGUGUGAUCUCAACAUUUGGACGAUUCCCUCCAAGCUGGUGACUUUUCCCCAACUGGGUGAGUUUAGGGUUUGAAGGGGUUUCAGCACUUCUCUGUCCUUUGCCUCUUACUUGCAGGGGAGACUGAGAACAGAGUGAAUAUGGGCACCACUAGGGCCACCCUAAAGCCUGACUCCAGAAGCUCCAGCAUACUUCAAUCCACCAGGGUCACCGCCCUCUCCAUGCAGCCUGUGCCUCCAGGAUGUUAUCACCCUCAUCCUCUCCAGCCACUGCACAAAGCAUCACCAUUCCCAACUGACAGUGAACUGUCAGCUCUUCAAGACAGAUUUGUGUUUCUGUUGGUCCACUGACAUGUCCCAAGUGCUUCAAAAAGUGCCCGGCACAUGAUCACCUGUUUCCUGCUGCUGGGUUCAUCUCCCUGAGUCACGAGUCUGGCCACAACCCUCUUUUACUAAAGCCCCGUGACAACCCCUGCCAUCUUCAGGAGACCAGCCAAGGCCCCAGCAUGGCCACCAGGGCCCCUCCAGCCACUCACCUUCUCCUUCCUCUUUCCUGAGCCUCCCACUGCGUGGGUCAGAAAACACAGUGCUUGCCCUACCCAGCUGACGCAUAGCCUUGUCUCCUCAGAGGCUUCCACACUGAGCUUGCCCCCUGCCUUGCCUCUCCCUUAACACAGCUUCUGCCCCUUGGGACUUGGUAUCUGGAUCCUGGCUGGAGCCCUUUUGGCUCAGACUCAUCCCCUGGAUCCGUCCACUCUUGACCAUGUCUGCGGCUACUGAGUCAGUUUACCCAGUCCGGCACGCCUGAGGAUGGAUGCUAACCCGGCUGCACUGAUUGUCCUUACAUACCGUCUCUUCUAACUGAGCAGCUUCUCCAUAGAUGUUUGUCACGAGGACCAUGUUGCAAUUUCCCCCUGCAGAAAGCAAGACACAGAAGGUCCGUGAACCAUAUGGGUUUUCUGCCAAGACAUUCCUUUGAAGCUGGUGGUGGUGAUCUGUUAUUAUCUGAGCACUUGUGUCCCCUCAAAAUUCAUAUGUUGAAGUCCUAGUGCCCAAGGUGAUGGCAUUUGGGGGUGGGGCCUGUAGGAAGUGAUUAAGUUUAGAUGAGGUCAUGAGGGUGGAGCCCCAUGAUAGGAUCAGUGCCCUUAAGAGAGAGAGAGAGAGAGAGACCAGAGCUCUGUCUCUUUGUGAUCUCUUUUCUUUCUCUCUCCGUCAUGUAAAAACACAAGGAGAAAGUGGCCAUCUACAUGUCAGGAAGACAGUUUUCACCAGGAACCAUUCCUGCUGGACCUUGAUCUGGGACUUCCAGCCUCCAGGAGGCAUGCCCAGCGCCAGCCAGAACCCUGGUGUGAAGGUGGCCAUCAGGAGCAGCUAAGGACAUCGGGAAUUCCUGCCAUGUAGGGGCCACAUCCCCUCAGGACGAAUGAGGACCACACCUAUAUAUCACAUACAGGCUAUAGUGUUCAGGCAUCUACACUCAACUGACUUUUAAACAGAAGACCUAAAACUUGCAAACGGGGAACAUGCUUGUCAGGAGCCGCCAGACAGGCAGUCUACAGACUAUGAUGUAUUUUUUCUAAGGACUUUAAAAUCUUAAGAUUCUUAAGAUUUUAAAACAAUCUUAGACCGAACAAGUUUGUACAAAUUUCCCUAUAAAUGUUAAUUUGCUAAAUGGCUUUUUUUGUUAAGCUUUUACCUUAAGAAUAUCAAACUCUACUCAAGUUUUUAGUGAUAUAUGUAAAUAACUUAAUACUGGAAUGGAACAGAUUGAUUGUGCUGGUAGGAUAAAUGGAAAUAGCUCCUAGCAGGUAGCUAGGAGAAAAAUGUUUUGACUCCAUCAAAUUUAUCAUAAAGACAUUGUUCCAAAACUAAUAUUCGAGGAACGUGAAAGAGGAUAAUAGUUGAAUCCCCAUGACCUAUAGAGGGACAGGGUCAUUAAAUCGUCCUAUGAAGGUAGGAACCCAGGACCAUGGGUCAAGCCAUGACCACCAUGUCACCAAAGUUUUCCAUCAUAAGAACAUGGAGACAAACAAAAGUUAGUAAGAGAAAUUGUUGUUUAUUUUAUUCACCAUAAAAUCCUUGUACCUCUUCCUGGGUGGGGGUGUUCCCCAGGUUCUUACGUUAAAACAACAGUUAAUUAAAUUACCGUUAAAGCCAUUGAGGGCCUGAGAAACCACAUCCUUCGCAACUGUCUCAUAAACCAGGUCCUGGGAGGCAUCAUGGAGAACUCUGUCCAGUUUGAAUGACCAGUCUGUCUGCUGGUUAUUGACAACUCCCCUCCGAGAAUCUUUUUUUAAGUGAAUAUCAAUGGUCUAGGAAAAAACGAAGACUUGUUAAGAAACUGGUAUAAAAAAGUCAACGGCAGCCAAGGCCUGACCUGGAGGAAACAGAGGAGGUGAACCUGAGGAAGAACAGGGACUUGCAUGUAUCCUGGAAGACCUUCAGGAUGGGGGGAAGGGAGCCACUUCAGGAAGGCCACACACCCUCAGGGUGGAAGGAGCAGGAGAUGGGAGCACAUGCUGGUUUCAGCACAUCUCACCCUCGUGGACAGGGGGCUGGCUGUCUGGGUUCCCUCAUCUGUGAUAUGGGGUGAAGCACAUUUAUCACAUUCUCAUUAAACAAGUUUUAGGUAAGUCCAAUAAGCACAGGAAUACCUUCAAACAGGCCAGAGAGAACAGUGUGCUUGGGAAUGGAGGCCUGGGCUAGAGCCCUAGCUCCUUGGUGACUGGAGGUGAGGCCUCCCUCAGCGUUGUGGUGAGCAACUACUCCCUCACACACUGUGGGUCACGGUGAGCAGUGAAUAAAUGAUAGCCACAGGAAAGGCACUGGUCUAUUCCGACAUAGUAACUCGCUGGCACUAAAUCAAGUGUGCCUGCAGACUUGUAAUCAGCACGUUUUCAGAUGCAAAGAUUUCUAAAAACUUUAUUUUUAGAUUUUUAGAUCCCUCUAUGGCAAGCCUCUGUGGCAGGAGCUUGUUUAGAAAUAUAUUGGGUUAGAUUUCACUUUCCCUUUUCACUUUCAUGCAUUGGAGAAGGAAAUGGCAGCCCACUCCAGUAUUCUUGCCUGGAGAAUCCCAGGGACAGGAGCCUAGUGGGCUGCCGUCUAUGGGGUCGCACAGAGUCGGACAUGACUGAAGCGCCUUAGCAGCAGCAGCAGCAGCUUAAUGGUAGAUUCCAGUCUUUGAAAUGAGGACUUCUGAUGUAAAUGGACUCUCACUGGACUCUUACACUGGCUGCCUUAAUCCAGAAGCCAAGACACAGCCACACGCAGAAAAAAUAAGACCAACAGAGCAGGGCUUGGUCCAUUCAUACGUUAAACGUUCUGUGCUUCAGGGUCACUGAAUCCACGUCCAGCAGGGUGCACUUCACAGGGUUGCACCUGAGUUUCUUUCUGACUGCUAGGACUUUAAAAGCUUGAAAAGUUGACCUUUGAAUUGCUCCCUUGAACAAUGUCUCCAUGCUGCCCAUAGUAGAACCACAAAUGUUUGCUGAAUAAAAAUAUUCCAUAACUCUCAA